rnacentral:lncRNA from 1 species
GAUUGUAAAAACCCAGAUUUUAUUGCAGAUCUGGGCAUGAAUUGUUUAUUGUUCUCUUAUAGCCAUCAUCCAGUUCAGACGAGCUACAGAAGAGAAUUCUGAGAAGGCAGUAAUUAAAUUUGAUAGUGAUGGGCCAUUAGUUGUUUGCAACAGUUCAAUCAAAACCAUCUGUCAGGAAAAGACGUUUCUUCUGGGAGGCAGCAACGAGGCCAGUCAGCCAGAGACCCUGCAGGGCACUACAAUGGGAUCAGGGUGCUUCAACAGCCUGGAGGGCCUGUCAGUAGACCCCCUGUCUCCACUUCAACAGCCCAGCAUCUUCCAGUCCACCCUCCAACAGCCUGGCACCCUCCAGUCCAGCCUCCAACAACCUAGCACCCUCCAGUCCACCUUCCAACAGCCUGGCACCCCGGUCAACACCCCCCAGCCUAGCACCCUCCAGUCCAGCCUCCAACAACCUAGCACCCUCCAGUCCAGCCUCCAACAGCCUAGCACCCUCCAGUCCAGCCUCCAACAGCCCAGCACCCUGGUCAGCACCCCCCAGCCCAGCAACUGCCAAUCAAACAGCUCCCUGCCAUCCAGCCCCCUGGUUAAUGUCAACAUCACCGUUAACUAUCCUGUGAACAUUGGAAACGGGCUGUGCUCCACCCCUACGAGCAGCACCCCCACAGGUUCCUCACAGGCUGAUUCUGAGGCUCCUCUUUCCAGGGAGGAGGAGUACGUGAACAUGCCACUGCAAGAGGGUGGCAAGGAGGCACUUACAGCAACACAGGAAAGUGGGCAUUAUAUAUAAAGACUGGGGAAUCAGAUAAUAGAUUGGGUUUUAAUGCUGUUUUAUAUACAGUAGUACAAGUAUGUACAAUGCCAACUCUAGCCUUUUGGGGGCCCAUAGAAAUGUUUUAUUUUGGGCCCCUUCCCCUUACGUUUGGGGGCUCCCUAGCAGUUGGAGGACCCCUAGUGGUUGGGGGCCCUAAGUGACCGCUUCUGUCGCAUAUGUCUGGAGCCGACCCGAGUAUUUACACAGUCAAGUGGAUGUGUUCAAACUUUUGACUGGUACUGUGUAUGUAUAAUAUAUGUAUCAUCACAGUAUGAUUGCUAUUGAAGCACUGUUGCUGACUUUGAAUAUUGAAAGAAGAUGGCACCAAAUGACUUCUUAUGCAGGGCCUUAGCUGAACACCGGAAUACAUUUUUAACAGUUGUUUAAAGAAUUACGAUUGAAGUGAAUGAUGUAAACUGUAAAUGUGGCAUAGCUCAAAGUAUGUGUAAUGAUUUUAGCAUAGGUAGGCAGUAACAUUUUAGUAUGUACCAUCAUAUUUUUUUAUUCACCAUUAUUCACUAUGGCCUAUAUGAGAUGUUGUAUUCUUGUGAGAUGAAUACAUUAUUAAACUUUCCAGUGUAAGUUUUUGCUCUUUUGCGAAACUGCAAUCGCAUACUAAACAAACCUGCUUUGUUUAUAGCCUUUCCCCUGUACAUGUUGAAGAGUCUGCAUAUGUUUUGUAAAUUUGAAGCAAUUGACUAGUAACAAGUUAAUGAGUCAUUUCACACAUUGCAUAAUGGUUUUAAAAUCUUAUAUUGCAGUGUACAAAAACAAGACAAACUAUAUACAUAGGGUAUACACAUUUAAACACAAAAAUUAUUUGAGGGUUUGCUUUGCAUGACCAUUCAUAAGCCAUUUGCAAUUAUUUUUACACUUAUUACAAUAAAGAGAUUCAUGCAGUAUAUGCUGUUCUGAUUUUAAAUAAAAGUAAAACAUAUCAAGCUGAACAUCUUUGAAAUGUCAGCUCAUCUAGAACCCACAAAUGAGGGAUGAUAUGACAUUUUUGUACACUGAACAAACCAAUUUGUGCACAACAUUUGAGGGAUAUUUUCUGUGUUAUGGAAUAUUUCGUUAUAUUCUUUCUCAGCUUAUAAAUAAUAUGACCAAAAAUAUACGUGUUGCAUUUAGAUUUUUGUUCAGUAUAUAUUUUGUGAAUGGAUUGGUCAAAGAUUUGUAUAACUCGCCAUGGCUUUGCUUUUAAAUUAAACUAUGUAUCACCACCUACUGGUGGAAUCAAACAUUAUUAAACUGUGUAGGUCAUAAUGUAUGUAUGUAUUAUUUUCCUCAACGUUUUCGGUUCUAAUAACCAGUAAGUAUAUUUUGUUAAACGGAAUUAUAAUCGCCUGCAAUAACAUAAAAGGUUCAUGGAUACAUAAAAUAUAAACUAGAUAUACGUAGAUUGACGCACCAAUCCAGCAG